UACGAAGGGUGCAAGCGUUAAUCGGAAUUACUGGGCGUAAAGGGUGCGUAGGCGGUUCGUUAAGUCUGUCGUGAAAUCCCCGGGCUCAACCUGGGAAUGGCGAUGGAUACUGGGCAGCUAGAGUGUGUCAGAGGAUGGUGGAAUUCCCGAUGUAGCGGUGAAAUGCGUAGAGAUCGGGAGGAACAUCAGUGGCGAAGGCGGCCAUCUGGGACAACACUGACGCUGAAGCACGAAAGCGUGGGGAGCAAACAGG
rnacentral:rRNA from 1 species